rnacentral:rRNA from 1 species
UAUGUGAUCGUCUCUCGCAUAUCAAUAAGCGGAGGAAAAGAAACUAACAAGGAUUCCCCUAGUAACGGCGAGUGAAGCGGGAAGAGCUCAAAUUUGAAAUCUUAAAGGGUUUCCCUUUACGAAUUGCAGUUUAAAGAAGUGUUUUCUGUUGAGGUUUUGGUAAAAGUUCUUUGGAAUAGGACAUCAUAGAGGGUGAGAAUCCCGUAUUUGACCUUUACUUUCAACUUUGUGAUACACUUUCAAAGAGUCGGAUUGUUUGGGAAUGCAGUCCAAAAUGGGUGGUAAAUUUCAUCUAAAGCUAAAUAUUGGCGAGAGACCGAUAGCGAACAAGUACCGUGAGGGAAAGAUGAAAAGAACUUUGAAAAGAGAGUUAAACAGUACGUGAAAUUGUCAAAAGGGAAGCGUUUGACACCAGUGUUGUUUUUCUGAAAUUCAAUUAAAGAACUGUUUAUGCUAAGCUGUUUAGACUUUAUCAGCUAUCUGUUUAGUUUUGAGCUUUUCUUUAAUGCACUUUUCAGUUAACAAGUCAACAUCAAUUUCUUUUGCUGUAAAAAAGCUUGAGGAAGGUGGCUUGAGAUUCGUCUUAAGUGUUUAUAGCCUCUUGCCUAUGCAGUCGGAGAGAUUGAGGUCUGCAGCGUAGAUCCUUCGGGGCUAAAUGCAUUUGUGCUAAGUUAUAGCAUUUUAUAGACAACUUGUUGACUAUGAUUUGUCUUGUAGCUUACUCGCUUAUGUUAUUUUACCUACGCUUAGGAUGUUGACACACGCGCGUGCUCG